UACGUAGGGCGCAAGCGUUGUCCGGAAUUAUUGGGCGUAAAGAGCUCGUAGGCGGUUUGUCGCGUCUGCUGUGAAAACCUAAGGCUCAACCUUGGGCUUGCAGUGGGUACGGGCAGACUAGAGUGCGGUAGGGGUGACUGGAAUUCCUGGUGUAGCGGUGGAAUGCGCAGAUAUCAGGAGGAACACCGAUGGCGAAGGCAGGUCACUGGGCCGCAACUGACGCUGAGGAAGCGAAAGCAUGGGGGAGCAAACAGG
rnacentral:rRNA from 1 species